UACAGAGGUCCCAAGCGUUGUUCGGAUUCACUGGGCGUAAAGGGUGCGUAGGCGGUCGGGUAAGUCUGAUGUGAAAUCUCCAAGCUCAACUUGGAAAUGGCAUCGGAUACUAUCCGGCUGGAGGAAUGGAGGGGAGACUGGAAUUCUCGGUGUAGCAGUGAAAUGCGUAGAUAUCGAGAGGAACACCAGUGGCGAAGGCGAGUCUCUGGACAUUUCCUGACGCUGAGGCACGAAAGCCAGGGGAGCAAACGGG
rnacentral:rRNA from 1 species